UGUAAGCCAGGUCGGUUUCUAUCUUUAUUAAAUUAAAAUAUUUUAGUACGAAAGGACCAAAUAUUUAAUAUAUUUAUAUUUUAAUUUUUGAAUAUUAGU
rnacentral:rRNA from 1 species